CCAACUCCUCAUAGACUUGGAUUUUCAAUGGUCAUCGGAUGGUGUUCGAAGGAGUUUCUGCUAACUCAUAUUGUAUUUCGGUGUCCCUUUGUUUGCUUUUCGUAUUCGUUUCAGGAUCUGAGUAGAAUAUUGUUGGUCUCGUGUGUUUUGCAAUCUGGUCAGGUUUGCUUUGGAUGAGGUGAUUUAUGGCUAUUUCUAUACCCCUCUUUUGUUCUUUGCUUUGAACGUUUGUACCUGUUUUUGGGUACCUCUGCCACUUCUUGCAUUUAUUUAUAAUAUAUUUGUUUUUUCUGAUGAAAAAUAAAUUGGGAUGCUAUUCAAAGAGAGCCUAUAAAAAAAUUAUAUUAACAUUAUAGUAUAUAUUUCAGGUUGUACUCCUU
rnacentral:lncRNA from 1 species